rnacentral:rRNA from 1 species
GUACACGCUGUGACUAGCAUAUCAAUAAGCGGAGGAAAAGAAACUAACAAGGAUUCCCCUAGUAACUGGCGAGUGAAGCGGGAAGAGCUCAAAUUUGAAAUCUUAAAGGGUUUCCCUUUACGAAUUGUAGUUUAAAGAAGUGUUUUCUGUUGAGGUUUUGGUAAAAGUUCUUUGGAAUAGGACAUCAUAGAGGGUGAGAAUCCCGUAUUUGACCUUUACUUUCAACUUUGUGAUACACUUUCAAAGAGUCGGAUUGUUUGGGAAUGCAGUCCAAAAUGGGUGGUAAAUUUCAUCUAAAGCUAAAUAUUGGCGAGAGACCGAUAGCGAACAAGUACCGUGAGGGAAAGAUGAAAAGAACUUUGAAAAGAGAGUUAAACAGUACGUGAAAUUGUCAAAAGGGAAGCGUUUGACACCAGUGUUGUUUUUCUGAAAAUCAAUUAAAGAACUGUUUAUGCUAAGUUGUUUAGACUUUAUCAGCUAUCUGUUUAGUUUUGAGCUUUUCUUUAGUGCACUUUUCAGUUAACAAGUCAACAUCAAUUUCUUUUGCUGUAAAAAAGCUUGAGGAAGGUGGCUUGAGAUUCGUCUUAAGUGUUUAUAGCCUCUUGCCUAUGCAGUCGGAGAGAUUGAGGUCUGCAGCGUAGAUCCUUCGGGGCUAAAUGCAUUUGUGCUAAGUUAUAGCAUUUUAUAGACAACUUGUUGACUAUGAUUUGUCUUGUAGCUUACUCGCUUAUGUUAUUUUACCUACGCUUAGGAUGUUGAUAUGCAUGACUGAUAU